rnacentral:rRNA from 1 species
ACGGGUGAGUAACACGUGAGCAACCUGCCCCUGACUCUGGGAUAAGCGGUGGAAACGCCGUCUAAUACCGGAUACGACCCGCCACCUCAUGGUGGAGGGUGGAAAGUUUUUCGGUCAGGGAUGGGCUCGCGGCCUAUCAGCUUGUUGGUGGGGUAACGGCCUACCAAGGCGAUUACGGGUAGCCGGCCUGAGAGGGCGACCGGCCACACUGGGACUGAGACACGGCCCAGACUCCUGCGGGAGGCAGCAGUGGGGAAUAUUGCGCAAUGGGCGAAAGCCUGACGCAGCGACGCCGCGUGGGGGAUGACGGCCUUCGGGUUGUAAACCUCUUUUACCACCAACGCAGGCUUCCAGUUCUCUGGAGGUUGACGGUAGGUGGGGAAUAAGGACCGGCUAACUACGUGCCAGCAGCCGCGGUAAUACGUAGGGUCCGAGCGUUGUCCGGAAUUAUUGGGCGUAAAGAGCUCGUAGGCGGCGUGUCGCGUCUGCUGUGAAAGACCGGGGCUUAACUCCGGUUCUGCAGUGGAUACGGGCAUGCUAGAGGUAGGUAGGGGAGACUGGAAUUCCUGGUGUAGCGGUGAAAUGCGCAGAUAUCAGGAGGAACACCGGUGGCGAAGGCGGGUCUCUGGGCCUUACCUGACGCUGAGGAGCGAAAGCAUGGGGAGCGAACAGGAUUAGAUACCCUGGUAGUCCAUGCCGUAAA